GGCAGAAGUCGCUGACUUUUAGGCGUUGACGAGUUAGACUCUGCAAUCUUGGUCAGAAUUAAAGAUCCCCGGGACUUGGAAAAGGCAGUGAGAGAUGACAAAGCACAGGCGACACUGUGCAGGAGCAGUAUUUUUCCAUUCCUGUCAUAGGUCUUCUGACUACCAGCUACAUAAGCGAUCUCUACAUGGACUUUUGAAGGCAGAUAGGAGCUGACUCUGGCCGUUGUCCAAAAGAACCAGGAGCCAUGUAGCUGCAGCUUCAGUGUUGCGUGCCCAAAUUACUGUGGCCUGCUGAGAGGCAGGAUAUUAGCUUGGGCUCGGGGCUGUGGCCAGCUCAGGCCGUGGGUAAAGCGAGUUUUCGUCUGUGUGCAGAAAAACACGUAGACAAGGGUAGCCAACGUGCAUAGGAUUUGGAAAUCCAUUUUAGUGAUGAGAGUAUCAGGAUCUAGAGUGGGUUUGCUGCCCACAUGAAGUUCAGGCAAAUACAACUGACUGUGCUCCCUGUACAAGCACAAAGAGCAGCACCGUGUGGUUUAGCCUGAAAGCCAGCCUGCAUCUCAGUGGCCAAAGAAAACUGCUUCAUGGCCUUGAUCCAAAUUCUGUGGGCCUCCAGUUGGCUAUCUCUGUUGCAGGCAUACCCAGGGUUUCUUUUCUGUUUUAGAUGGCAGUGACUGUGAACAGGGAGGGUUUCAAUUCAAUCUUCACUGGCUCUGUGAGUUUCUGCAGGAGCUGACUGUGACACCUGACUACCCAGAUGGAAUUCUGAGCCUGAGAGGUCCAUAAGAAGCAGAUAAGCAAGGAUUGAGCCAAAGUCUUCAGGACACCGAAGGAAGCUGGAACUGUAACACCAUCACAUGGCUCACAGCAAGCUGGCAUGGAGGAGAGGAUCAGCUACGCAUUGCUGAGGAAGUCGCACGGAGUAUGCAGCGUAACAUGCGUCCCCAGGGCGCUUGGAGGCGAUGAGUAUCAGCAGUCAGUGGAACCGGUCCAAAUUUACAGCAAUGCAUUUACAACAGCGAUAAUUUCAUUCUUGAUGAUGGGGGAGCAAAAAUAUGUACCAGAAAAAAGAAAUGUCUCACUGAGGCUAUAGAAAUAGCGGUGGGGAAAUGGCUUGGCUUUGCUUGCUGUUGCUGAUUGGUGUUCCUGAUACAUCCCUCAGUUCUGGCUCUUGUGGUAUACACGUUAAAAUUAGUUCCUCUUCCACCUUUUAGGUAAUAAUCCUUUAAAGGAACCUUUCAGAUCACCACCACCCAUGAUGACAGGAAAACAGUGUUAGCUACAGCUCCUGUGGUCUUGGUUACUGCGUGUUGAUACAAACAGAAGACGUGAUCUUGGAUUAACAAUAGCUAUGGUUUAGGUUUUCUUCCUUCAGCGAUCCCUGAAAAGGAUGCUUGCAAGCAUAAUUUGGUGCUAGAGGCUGAAAAAACAUCAAUUCUAAUGGUUGCAUUUUAAGGUUAACAUGAGGGCUAAGUACAUAGCAUUUCCUUUGAAGAAAGCAUAUAUGCUCCAGCAGAGGGGUAGCUGAAAACCAUGUCUGUAAGAGCAGUGGCUGAUGGUUUAGUUCUGCAUGAUAAAAUAAAUCACGUUGAUUAAGUUCAAGCUCCAGUACCUCAGAUGUUUGUUGUUGCAGAGCAGCAGCUUGGCUGAUUGGCAGCUCUGGUUUAGUCGACAUGUGUUAACAGAAAUUGCUCAAUUUACAUGGAGUACUUCAAUCUGCUGGUUUAGAAGUUUGUCCCACAUAGACUAACAUUUCAGCUUUUGAAUAAGUGGAGGACUUGUAAGGGUCAUUAAAGGAAUUGCUAAAGCUUCUGUAAGCUAUAGGCCGGAUUGCUGACUGAGAUGCGUAGCAUGCACGUGUCACUGCAGAUUCUUCCCAGAUAAUGGUACUGGUGAGAUUUUAAUCUGGACGAAGUGCUGGAGGCGGCUCUCUUUCCAACACUCAAUUAUCCCAAUAAUAACACACUUCUGUUUUUCCUGUGUUCGGAUCGUGUGUCCUGCUGUGGCGGUGCAGUGUGUGCACAGAGCUGUUUGGAGCGAGGAAAAAAAGCAGCAAACCAAACGUAUGGCACAGCAAAGGGCGCUUACAUUGUCCUCUAUGCUGUGGGACUUCUGCUGUGUCUCUACCUUGGGUGGAGGAGCCAAGUAACCACCAUGGGAAAGGACCAUUUUUUCCCACAGGCUGCAGAAGAACGAGUCCUUACUGGUUCUCAACAGCCUUACAGGAAUAUAUUUGAAGCACAGCUUGCUGCUAGGACUGUGUGGUAUGUUGCAGGGGCAAGACUAUCAUUUUAUUGUGCGUAUACAUCUUGUAACCUCCCUAGUGGGAUGCUGAUCUUCCAAAGUCUCGCACAACACCAAGAAUUCAGAAUAGUUUCCCACGGAUAUUUUCUCUGGAAGAAUUUCUUCAAAGAAUUAACUCAGCCAGGAAACGGAAACCAAACGGGGACCAAAUUGCUUCACACAUGUCAGUCUCCCAUUGGUAAGGGAUUUUAGAAAUGGUCACUUGAUGAUUAAUCUCAACUACGCAUCCCUAAUUUCAUUAACAGUUCCUAGAGAUGAAGGGUGAAGCCAUUUGAGAAAAUCAAGCUUUAUUUGCUUUUUAUUCAUGAGGGGUUAUUCUGCAAGAUUGAAUUACUAAUAGCACUCCAGAUCAUUAAGAUGUAUGGAACUUGGAUUUACUUUUCAGUACGUAUAUCAUUCUCUGUUCCUUAAUACUUUUCGUCAAUCUCAAAGAAUGCAAACAAACUCAGCUGUUUUAUAUUUGUUUACAAUCAACCUUUACCAUGUCAGCAUCGUUCCACAUUUGUUGCUAAACGAUGGUGGAGUGCAAAUUCCUGAGAUAAAGCAGCAUUUCGUACUCAUUCUUUGAACUGUUUACAGUGAAAUACGGUAGAGAAAACUAAAUUUGCUAGCAGAGCCAGUGAAGGUAUUGCUGCACUCACAGCCUCUGGUCCUCUCUCUACAUUGUCUGCUGAGAUAGCUGUGAAUUUGGCUCACUUUCUUUGUUUGUAUGUCAAACUGUAUUUGUUGCUUGAAGUGAAUGCACAUGCCCUAGGCAACGCUCGGCAUCGGGUAUAACAUUUUUGGCUCUUUAUGGCUGGUUGAAAGUCUUUCCAUUUUUGUUAGACUAAGCUGUCCUGGAUUUAGUUAAGCUAGUGUGGGGUAGCCACUUUUAUUUUGGACUAAGAGUGAUUUGUGUCAAUUUAGCUUGAAUCCAUCCCUAAUUGACUUGCACUGAGCUGAGCUAACACCUGAUUUAUGCCCUCAAUUAUCCUAUUUUAACCAGCAGCUCAGGCAUGCUGUCCAGCUCCAGCAACUUAAACGAGUUACUGUACCUCAGCUGAGGCAUGGUAACUGCAGCGUGCCUUUCUCUAGCCUGCAGCAGACGUGAGGCUCAGUGUGUCAGCUUAACCUCAGGGGCAAGAAAAAGAGAAGUUGAAACUGGUUUCUUCCAUCUGAGAUGGCCACAGGCGAAGAGCAAACACACAUGGACAAUUACCGUGGCUCAGGCGAUGCGUGGUCAAAUCUUAGAAUUAGUAGGAACUUUUCCAUGGGCUUUGUACAGCGUUAUUCCGCAGUGAGAAGUUUGAAUGCCCUCCAUUUCAGAGUCUAUCUUUGAGAUGCUUGCAUCUUUCUUAAAAAACAAUGAAAACAAACAAAACAAGACCGCCAAUAGUAAAAGAAAACCACCAGCCCCAGACUUUCACCUUUCCUCUCAGGUAAGACCUGUUUUCUUACUCUACUCUGUGGGAAAGCUAAGAAUAUGUUUGCUUAUUUUCAACUAGGAUUUGCUAAACUGAAGCUAAAGAUAGAAGAGUUCCAAACCUAGGAGGAGUCUGGACCCUCUCAAACUAUGACUGGGGCCAAGGAAACAACAUACCAGGCAUCAAAACUUUGGAUGCUUUUUUUUCUUUCUUUUUAUUUAGCAACUGAAACUCCAGUUCAUCUUUCCCUGCUUCCACAUAAUAUAAGGAAAGAUAUUUGAUUAAAUUAUGUGAGAUGCUUUUUCAGGCAGAUGGAUUCAACACAUGGCUGCAGGACCAGGCUUUAUUAUCUCGACUAACGUGGACACAUUUUGAACACCGCUUCUCACUCUGCCAUCAGCCGCCACCACCUCUGCAGUACUGUGACAGCAAGAGAAAAAGGACAGGAAAGUGAUAAAGUUUGUACACGUAAGCAGAAAAGAACUUUCUGUCCAAAGCCAGCUGGCUUGGCUUGGCACUGAAGUGGCAUUUUAGCACAAGAUGACACAUUUGUGCGUGUAUUGGAGCUGUGUUUCAAAACAGUUGCCCUAGAUGCCACAGGAAGGCUCUGUGAAAUAGUUUAUCGCCAAGUAACCAGAGAGAGCAGGUGAGCUGUCUUCUAGACUGGCAAACAAAUGAAAGCAUACUAAGAAAUCACAGCAAAUAUGCUGCUGCUUUUAACAAUUAGAAUUGAGUGUAUUCUCAGUGAAGUUCUGGGAGAUGAAAUAAUUCUGUAUCACAACCAAGAGGACGACACGUCCAUUAAUAAAUGCCUGAUGCUCUUUGCUCUGAUACAAAACUCAGAAAUGCACACCAGCUGAUCCACUUUAACACAGGUUAUUUUGUUUUAAGUCUUGUUUUCCAAAUUAGAGCAAACCUCCCAGGAUAAAACGAAUGGCAUCUUUACCUUUACAUGAUAAAGUGCCUGAGCAAGAAGGGAGGUUGAUGGCUUCUAUAAAUCCUGUGGGACACAGAUCAAUCAUCCCAAGUGUAAUCCCAGAGAAACUGCCUGAAAAUAAACCGCAGCAACGUUUGUACUUUGGAGUCUGGAUGCCAUCAUAAAAUGCCAAAAAUGUACCUUGUAUACUGCCCAAGUUUAAAGAUUAAACUUUAUUUCAGAAGUUAACUGCUAUAAAGGUUUCUUUCCUAUAUGUUGCACAUUAUAACAGAUCAUGCAGACCUUUUCUGGACUCUGUGUGUGAAGUUUACAAGACCAGGGCAGUAGCAUAUGUCUCGUGUGCGAUUUGAUCGAUCGAGUUUCCAGAAAAACAGAUCAAGUCUAGGAAAAAUAACGCUUAAGUUGCCAUGCUAAGAGCUGCAGCUGUCUGCAGUGGGAGCCGAGGAUGCUCUGCAUGAGGCAGAACUUAUCUGGCUUUCAAGAGUUCCACAAGUCGUUUGUCACUUGAAGAGGUCCCACCAACUUCAAAUCUACUUUAAAAAGCAGUUUAAAGACUUUUUAGGUAUUAUGGUCUCCUAUCUCUAUUUCUGUCUCUUUUGUUUCCUAACAGCAUGAGAUACUGACCACACAUACUGCAGUCGAAUAUAGAAAUUAAACUUACAGGAAA